CUAAUUUAAUGCUUGUCGCUUGCCUUGCCUCUCUUUUCAACCAUCUUCGUAUUUAUAUCUUCUUCUUCACUAUGCACACCCGUGAACUUUGCUAAUAGCCGCAAUUCUAUUUCUUUCCUUCGAUUCUUCUUCUAACUAUUACUUUGGUUUCUUUAAUAGUUAGAUUAUCAUAAGGUAAGAGUUACUCAAGGAUCCAAUGGUUCUCUCCGGUAAGUUAACACUUUUUAGUGUCCAUACUCAUAACUAGCUAUUGUUACUUUUUUUUUGUUUUGUUUUUUGGUUUUCUGGAGCUAACAAUCGAACGAGAGUGGGUUUAUGAGAGGUAACAGCGAGAUAUUAGUGCGGUUCAAUCAAAUAGUCGUCCUCUUUAACUUAUGGAGAUCGGUGUUGUUCGAUUGAGCCGUGCCAAUAUCACGCGGUUAACCAAAAUGGCAAAGAUGGUUUAUCAUAUCCCUAACCCUAACCUUAAAGGCUUCGAAGGAACAAGCAACACACAACCCAAAAUCCAAGUACAACUGCAAUUUGCACUUCUAUUUUUAGGAAGUAUUUAAGGAAUUAUAUGUAAAAAAAAUAUAUAACAAAAUAUAUUUGAAUUAUAUGCUAAUAUAAGAGAGUAAAAGUACUAGCUAGAAUGUAAAAAAAAUAUUUGUUUUUAUAGUAUCAUGAUGAUAUUACAAAAUAUAAUAAGUAUUGAUUUGUAAAUUAUUCGUACCUUUUGUCUAUAAUUUAACUGUAGAAUGAUUAAUCUUAUUUGGUAUUUUUAAAUAAAUGUGUAUGCAGCGUAUGCUUCUUGUUGUUAACCUCACGAAAACUAGGAAGUCUGUUUUCUGGACUUGGUCUCUCAAUAAUGUUAAAAUCCAAGAAUUUCCAUAAAAUCGUUCCACAUUUCCGGAAGUAUGUUUGUGAGGCAAACAACACACACCUUAUUAUAUUAUUUCUAGUUUAGUGAAAAACUAAAUAUGUCCUUUCUUGUUUCCAAGACGUUGUCCAACAUACUAUAGAGUCGUAUUGAGAAUUGAAAAAUCUUAUUACUUGACUGAAAUUAAGCCAGAAAUCUGAUCGAAAUUAAUCCAAAGAAAGUCGAAUCGUAUAGAAACUUAGGAGUUUUGUUGAGCCUACUUAGGAGUAUAUACGAAGCCAUUAUCAACACAAAAUAGUAUUAUAGAAAAGCACAAAAGGAGUCCAAUAAAAGAUUCAAUGAGGAUGC